AGGCGGGACACAGAUGCCACGCCCCUUUCCCGGAGGCGGGUUGGGCGGCCCCUUAGUGGGAGGGGCCAGGGGUGCCACGCUCCUCCUUCUGGACCGGGGAGAGACCGAGGUUUGCUCGCGGGGUGUGAGGGCGUUCCUUGCUGAGGCGCGAGGCGGUCCGCGGGUGUCUGGGCUUAGCCCGCCUUUAAAGACCUCGGGCGGAAAACUCCGCGCCCUGCGUCCCGCCUGGGUCAGCCUCAAAGUAAGGGACACCGGCCUUGGGCGACUCGGACCAGGCUCUGGCCGUCUGUACUGAGCGCCGCCGCGAAGGUGUCUGGCGUGGGCCGCGACAGAACCUCCCUGUCCGUUCUCAGGACACUUCCCCGGAAGCUGUAACGGAGACGGCCUUUCCCCUGGGCAGCCCGGCCCGCACUCUGUGCUUCUCAUUUCUCCCGCUCCCUGCGCUCCCCAGGCCCCGCACUCACCCGGUCAUCUUUCCUGACCCCGGCUGGAAUCACGUGACUGUAGCCUCUAAAAAAUGCUCAUGCCUGGGCCCCUCUCCAAACCAAGGGAAAUCUAAGGUGUACCUGGCGUUGGUAUUUUUUUUGGUGAAGCUCCUCAGUCUACCAAGAUGACAUCAGAACAGCCAGUGGGAUGCAGUAUCCCCACUGCCAGACCCUUUGUUUCUGGAAGAGAAGCCAGACUGCAAAGGGCACCGAGUACAGAAGCUAACGGAAUUGGGAAUGAUGAGACAAAAAGCUGAAACGGUUAGUGUGACCCAACAUCCUAACAUGCCUGACUGUUAUAUCACACAUGGUAAUUUGGGGGCUGGGAGGCGACAAACAGGGAAAACCCCUUUGGAUACAAUGUGUAAUGGAAUUUACAAAGCAGUACUGUACCCCUCAAAUUAACAACAGCUGUGUGGAACAAGUCUUUUUAAAAGUACAUGGUUUGUACAGGUA